rnacentral:sRNA from 1 species
UGAGAUCGGCAACCAUUGUUCGCAGCUC